rnacentral:tRNA from 1 species
GAGGCUAUGGUGUAAUGGUAGCACACGAGCUUGUGGAGCUCUUUGUCUGGGUUCAACUCCCAGUAGCCUCC